GGGAGUCUGAUAUGGCAGAGACGGUGGCGGGUUCUGUUUGUCUGGGAGUGUUUUCCUGCUGAUUUUCCAGGCUCAGGACAGAUCUCCUAAACUUAAGACAGGGCUGGCAUGGCUCUUCCUUCUUCCCCGUCUCUGUCCUAAUGACCAUUUCAAAUCUGAAUCUAAAUCUGAAGGGCGAAUGACAGAGGCGUCUCAGUUAACAAUGGAGUUUUGAACUUUGCCUCCCCUUCAGGGGGAAAAAGUAUGCCAAGAUACAGAACUAGUUCAGUUAAAUGGAGACCCACUUGGCCACUAAAUUUGAUAAUGCUUUUGUCUGAAGGUCAGAGGCUAAAUAUGUUCACACUAAUCCCCUUCAUCUAGAAUUAAAGGACAAGAAAGGUUUUCUGUAGCUUAGCGAGAGAGGGGCUUUUCUCAUCGCUGCCUAAAUAGUAUUUGCAGAGGGGGAAAAUUAAAGCUGAGCCCUUCACUGUUCGUUUUGAAUAUAGAUUCUGAGAUAUAGAGAAUAUAGAUUUUACACAUUUUCCCAUGAUUUAUUUUCCAGGCAAAACAUGACACCGUUCAAGCAGUUCUGCUUUUGUUAGAGCCCCAGAGAACUCAAGCUCUGGAAACAUAACUUUGCUACCCAGGUUAAAAAUGCAGAAUCUGCCUGCCCUGUCCUCUCCUUUCUGCACCGAAAACUGGAAGAUUCACCCGUGUUGAGACGCCAUUCUCAGAUUCACGUUUCAAAUGCUGUCACGCAACAUUACAGCCACACAAAGAGCCUCUGUGCGAUCGCUCAGAACUGGGGAGCAGGGAAUGCUGUAAACCCACAAGAGCCAAAAAGUUCCAGAGGGUAACGCUGCUAACCUGAGCUAACCCCGGUGCUCUGGGAUGCAACCGCGGCUGCCGCAUUUCUAGCACUGGUCUGAGAGAACCACCCUGCCAAAAGAUCCCAGUGGUAUACCGGAAGGGGCAGAGGCACGUGGGGUCCCAUGAGAGACCUUGCUGGCCAUUUUCUACCCUAGCCACAGGGUGCGCCAGAGAGCCAACAACACAAAAGGGCGGCCACAGGCCUGUUCUGGCAACCUGUUAGAGGCCUCUCCAGAGAUGCAUAUCAUUUAUUUCUGGCCAGAGUUGACCCAGUUCACACACCCCAGGCCCAAAAGCAGUCCCAAACUCAAUUGGUAGUCAAAAUCUGCACAUUUCUUUGCUUUGGGGGCAAUUUGCAGAAUCGCAAAAACGUGUUCUGAAGAUGCACACAUUUGAAAAACACACCCGAGAAAAGGUGCGGGUGAGAAACACGUAAAGAAACACCCCCUAAAAUGGGAGCAGGCAUGUGUCUGCUUCUACACUGCAUCCGACUGGUACAAUUAGGAAAACAUGUGCUAAAAUAGGCACAGCUUUUCAUGCAAGGGAGAAAUAGAGAGAGAGAGAGAGAGAGAGAAUGAACGAAUGAACGAACGAAGCACAUACAGUUUGGUUACAGACAUGAGUUGGAACAAACUUCAAAGCGGAAUCCAGAGAACCUGGAUGGCUCAGUCUUUGCACUUUGCCACUUGUAAUCCUUGAAGACCCGCACCUCUCUUUCUUUUCUUGGGUGGAUUUAGCCAAAAGACCCCGGUCUAUGCUGGGCAGGGCGCAGCGUGCAGCAGGGCCCCGACCAUUCCGGACCCCUCUGGAAUGCCUGAACAGAACGAAUCCGUGUAUUUGCAGACUUGGAUGUGGAAGGAGGUCCUUCGCAUGGCUGUGCACAGGGGCCUGAGGGCCGCGGCAUGACCCGUGUCCCUCUCUGGGCCUCCCUUCCUGGAGCCACGGCCACCACCGGCCCUGCUGCUCUUCCGAUUCCUCCCUGUGGCUCCCGUUUGCUUCCCAGGCAGGCAGGGGGCCAGGGGCAAGGGGGCUGCAGGGGCCCCUGCGCUGCCAGGCCCAGAGCGAGAGGAAGGUAAAGAAGCAGGUCACAAGGGUGAACGGGGAUGGGGCAUCCACAGGAUCUCAUCCGGGGGCCCCUGCACCUUCACGGGUGCUCCAACUUGCCAGCUCCAGCACCAGCCCUGACCGUACAGGGAUGACAGGCCUGCAGCCACUGCUGCUACCUUUUCGUUCACCCUGCAGCACUCGGACAAAAAUUAGGCGCUUUGUAAGUGAGAAAUGAAAGGUGAUUGUUCAAAAGCGAGUGACUGUCUCUGCGGAGUCUGAUGUGGUACAGAUGAUUCUGCCCGCCGGGACUCAGCCUGCUUCUCCAGGCUGCAGCAGAACCCCUAAAGAAACUUCCGGAAGCGCUGCGGCCACGAGGGGAAGACUUGGAAUUCGGCACGUGUGCCUGAUGGGCGGAAGACGGCACCCCCCCCCCGCUUCGCAUUUUAUCUGGCGCUCGCGCUCGGCUGGCCAAAACAGCUUCGGGAGGCGAGAGCUGUUUCUGUGACAGGAAGGCUCGCGAGGCAUCUCAUUUUCAGACACGAGCCAAAACACGCAGCAAAAUAUUUCAGUUGCAAGUCAUGAGGUUCUGAUUAUGGAAAGGAGACUUUCCAAAAAGAGACACCAGCCCGGUACUUUCUGUUCCUCUGUAAACACACCAAUGGCCCUUUUUCAAGUUACGCCAGGAAGAUUCUGUUACACGGGGCCAGGGCUUCACUGUAACAGCUUUGAAACAACAACCCCGAAGCACGGCUGGGAGCCAACGCGAGCGAAAAUAAACAACUUGGCCAGCCUCGCAGAUCCAUAUUUAGGCACCGAAAAUAAGUGGGGUGAUUUUCAGAAAUGCGGACCUCCCAAAACAGCUCCUGGGGUCAGCUGCCGACGUCACUGGCUGGUGGGAGAAGGUGCGGCUGGCUCAAUGGCCGUAGGCACUCUCACGACAGGUUGUGAGCCGAGAAAUCGUCCAGCAGGGGACUGAGCGCUGUCCUGUGUGAUUCCAUCUGCUCCGCUCCAGAGAGAACAGCGAGGAGCCGGGGAGGUGCCCCUUUCCUCUCCAUGGUUUCUUUGCAAGUACUGAGCAUCACGGCCAAGUGGAGAUUUGACGCCAGGCCUUCCAAGUCCCAGUGCAGCCAAAACCUGCUCCAGCCUGCGAGGCCCUGAUGCAGACACUGCGGGACCAGCGCUCCGUGUGCGGAGGUCUUCCGGCCCUUCCCACCCAGGUUCCCCCCAAAUGCCUGGCGCUCCCAUGGACAAAGCUACAUGACCCGGAGAGCACCUAUGCCCCAAAGCACCUGGAAGAAGCCUCCCUGCGGAUGGAGACGUCUCCACAGACGUCAGGUCCCAGCUUCCACCCUUGGCUCCUCCACAAGCACAUCUCAGGCACAAUGAGGCGAAGGCUCUUUGCCCCAGAUGGCAGGGGAGAGACCCUGCGGUCUCCCCGCGUUCGUCCGCAGUAGGCAUUACUACAGGAGCAAUGCUUGUUUUCCUCAGGACUCGCUCACCUCGCCCCUGAGCCCAGCUGGCAGGGUGGAGCAGGGCUUGCAUCAGCCGGGCAUGCUGGGGCACAUGGGACCCAGGGCAGAAGGGGCCUCUACUCCAGCACCUAGCUGCCGAGCGGUGCCUCCCUGAAGGCCGCCCAGGGAGAAGUUGUUGGAUCACGGCUGUCCCCGGCUGGUCCAGUCCAUCACGCUAGGAAAGGUCAUCCGUGGAGGGCGACUGAAUGUUAUCACUGAAUGUGAAGAGGGCAUCACAUGAGUUUGGAGGGGUUUCUGUGUCACCUACCGCUUUGGCUGCAAACUAGGAGCGAACAAACCCAAGCAAAUGAAAGACAAUUCCAAAGUGAAGAGCACAGAUCCUUCACCAGCCCCUGAAGUCAACAGCAGACGUUUCCCACGGCUGCAUGGGAAGACAGGGAUUAAACCCACACCUUCCAAAGGCUCAUCUGAUUUACCCCACAAAAUAGCUUAAUUACCAGAAAGCCAGAACCUAACAUUGGGUGAUAACAAUGCAUGCAACUCGGUUACAGCUGUUUUCAGCUUUAACCUUCCGCAGAUCCAUAAAAAGCGUUCCUGAAUUGGGAGCUCUACAUCUUUAAAGUCAUUGACCAGGUCUUGGGUCUACCUGCAAUUCUGUUGGGCCCAGCCUCCAUGGAGAAGCGCCUGGACUGCACCAUCAGUCACUGAGGCCGAAAGGGUCUAUCAUACACACUUUCCCACAUCCCUAUUAGAAUUCCACCUUGGUGUGCAUUAUAAGUAUAAACAGACAAAUGUGACAGGUUAGAUUCUAGUCAGUUCUUCUUUUUCCUGCAUUCAUUUCUACCUGAUUUUUACGUCUACCCUAGCUGAUUUCUAAAUCAGUUUGCAAACUUGCUUUUUAAAAUCCACAUGAAUAGUCAUAAAUAUUUCAUGCACAUUUAUCUCAAUGUACACAUCUUUCUUUAUAUGUCUUUCAAAAGACAUUUUUGUACAUUCUUUUCAUAAUAUGCACAUUUUUGCAAGCAAUUUCCCCUAAUACAGUGGAAUUUUGCGCACAUUUCCUCUAAUAUGCACAUUUUUGUGUAUUUCCCCCUCCAUUAUAUGCCUCUUUUGAGUGCACCUGUGUUUACAACUGCUCUGCAAAAUUCAAAAUGUAAAUAUUACCCUAUCUGUGACAAGAUUCCAGGCCUCAGAGGUGCAAAAUUGAUACACAGACAUCAAAAUCUAAGCAAUUUUUCACCCACCCCUAACUGCAAGCUUCACUGGGGCCAGGCUCUGUGGAAAGAGAAGCAUAAUUAUAGUAACACUUUUUUCGACACCCUCCGGGAGAGAGCGCAUCUUGGAUCUUUGUUUUGCUUCUGUGUUUGGCAGUGAAGCAGCAUUUCAGCAUGAGUUAAAAUGUCAGGCCUUUCAGAGAUUUUGACUGCAGUAAGAGAAGCCACCUUGAUGACCACAGAGUGACAAAGUUCCUAAGACAGGCACUCCAGAUUUAUCAAGAGCACAUCGCUUCGUAAAAUCGACACAGCAAAAGUUCCAUCAGCUCUGCCUCAUGGCCAAGUGGGAUCCCAACGGGGGGCACGAAGACAAGCCCUCCUCUGCAGCCGUGAUUCCAGAACAUUUCAGAAGGUUAUGGAAGUGGGAAAGAACCUACACUGAGCUGGUUGCUUCAUGUCCAAAGGAAGCCACAUUCCUACCUAUUCAGCAGAAACGAAAGCUCCCAAAAUCUGCAAGCAUUUCCUGAGGGAUUCCUCAGAUGUUAUAAUUAUUAGGCAAAGGAGAGGAGUGCCUGAAAUCAAGCGAGUUGCGAUCUCAAGAUCAAGGAGGCCGGAAAAGCUACAUGGAUGUGGCAAAAGAUGCAGCUCAAUUUAUUCUAUUCCAUCCAGGAGCCACAAGCGAAGUGUUCCAAUGGCAUCUCCAGAGGUUGCCUGAGCUGCUGAAAAAAAGCUCCCAAAGAGGCUGGUGUCUCUUUUAGCACUCCUUUUGUGCCAAGUUCAAUGGAUAUUUUUUCAAUCCAGUAAACAACUCCUGGGCAACAUAUAUUUCCUUUAAAACAGUGCCCUCUGUGCUUCUUCAGUGGCUGGUUAAAUCUUUCUGAUCAACAUCAGCAUCCAACAAUAAACAAGACUUAUACUGCUCAUAUGUUAGAGAUUAUGUGAUAGUUUUCUGCCUGUGGGGUGGAAGAAACUGAGCCUUAUUUAGCAAGUCCACUGCUGCUAUUACUAACCUAUCUUUAAACUACCGUAGCUGCCAACGCAGGAUCAAAAUAUGAAGGUUUACAUCAUGUGUGUAAGUCUGCAGCCCCACAUAUUCAAAUGACCAGAGGACAAGACACAGACAAGUUUAGUUUUUUUAAACUGUUCCACUGCCAUCCUCCCCUCAUCGAUGCAAAAUGUCUUUUCUUUAAAGAGCCCAACAGAUCAGAUUUCCAUACAUAUUACAAAAUAUACCUGAGGAAAUACAAGAGAUUCUGGUAAUACAUCAGUCUAACGUCACAGGAGAGAAUUCGGAGAUGAGAGGAAUAAAGUUCUAUGCGAGAAGCUCCACCAGUGCUCCCUGACACUGGAAGGUGAGCUUUCGUGGCAUUACAUGAGCAGUAAGGUGGGCGAGGGAGCUGGCAAAUUUAAUGCAAGAACUGCCUGGCAGGCUUGUCUGGAAAGCCCUGGAAUAGGUAGGGCAGCCCCUUCCCUGGGUCUACCAAGUUUUAUGGUGGAAAACAGAGAUUCGUUUGCCUCUCUCCCAUGAUAUCAGAACCUGUACAGAGCCCCGUGCUUUCCAACCUAUUCUCAAAAUGAUCUAGACUUAGCACUGAGCAGUCAAGUGGCCAAGUUUGCUGAGGACACCAAACUAUUCACGCUGGGGCAAAAAUCCCCAACUUCAGGUGUAAGCGGAGGGCAUCUAAGCCAGCAGUGACCAUUCAAAGAGGAAAUCUUGGCAUUGCGGUGCCCAGCUUGGCGGAAAUGGCAGCCCGGUGUGCGGGGGCUGUGAAAAAGACGAGUCAACGUCGGGCACAGUAAGGAAAGCGACUGGAACUGAAACUGCCAGCACCGAAUUACCCUUAUAGUGAUCUAAGAUGCAGCCACAUACGGAAAGCUGCAGACGCUUCUUUCCACUGCAGCUAAACAAGGAUAUUAUAGGAUUGGGGCAGAAAAGGGUAAGAGAAAUGAUUGAGGGGCUGGAGGAAGCACCUCCCCUAUGAGGAAAGGUUGCCAACAUCUGGGAUUGCUUAGCUUAGAGAACGAGGCAAGGAAGGGGAGACCAGCGAGAGGUGUGUGACAUUACGGAUGAUGUGGAGAAAAUGGAGAGUGGGCCAUAUUUCUUCCUCUCCUAUAAUAUUAGAAGCGGUAGGGGGCCAUCUCACGAAACUGCCUGGAGAGAGAUUUGGGUCAGAUAAAAGAAAGCCCUUCUACGAGAUA